CGGCGUUCGUUUUCGGCGAUCUUUUUAAGCCCUCGUGUCCUUUCCAGUUUCCAUUAGAAGGUCCAUCUCGGGGUGAAUUGCGAAAUCAAUUUUCCCAAGUUUAGAGCUGAAGUUUUUCCCUUCCUUUUUUAGCUUAAUAUAAUAUUUUCCGUCGAGAAAAGAAAAGGAAGGUGGCUCUUGCGACAUGAGCAAGAGACUCGCUUUCAUCCAAACCAAACGCGACUUCUCAAUCGAUCUGCUUGGGGGCUAUUGCGAUGGGCACAUAUGAGAUCGAAGAUUUAUUUACUUGAUAUGAGCUGCUAUUUUGCUCGCUCUCUUUCCCGAUAAGAUGUUCGUAUGGAGUCACUAUCACUGUAAUUGGAUAAUUAUGACAUAUAUAAACGGCUUAAUGUUCCCUAAUCUCGAAUGAGCUCCCUUGCAUGUGGAAACGAUUUCAAUAUGCAUUGGUCCCUAAGGGAUUAGCCUCUUUAGCUAAUCUCAAAGUCAGAAGAGAACUUGUUACCCUUGUUUUACUUGCUGCUAUUUCUCUAAUUUUGAGAAAGAACAACUUGCCCAGUCCAUGCCCCGAAUUGAUUGGUAUUCUGAAGGGAUGUAUUGAGCCUUUUUCUUUUUCUUUUUGGUUGCAAAGAUAUUGCAAGAAAGCUAACCAGCUUUGCUUAUCUUGGCA